rnacentral:rRNA from 1 species
AUUGAACGCUGGCGGCAUGCCUUACACAUGCAAGUCGAACGGUAACAGGUCUUCGGAUGCUGACGAGUGGCGAACGGGUGAGUAAUACAUCGGAACGUGCCCGAUCGUGGGGGAUAACGCAGCGAAAGCUGUGCUAAUACCGCAUACGAUCUACGGAUGAAAGCGGGGGAUCGCAAGACCUCGCGCGGACGGAGCGGCCGAUGGCAGAUUAGGUAGUUGGUGGGAUAAAAGCUUACCAAGCCGACGAUCUGUAGCUGGUCUGAGAGGACGACCAGCCACACUGGGACUGAGACACGGCCCAGACUCCUACGGGAGGCAGCAGUGGGGAAUUUUGGACAAUGGGCGCAAGCCUGAUCCAGCCAUGCCGCGUGCAGGAUGAAGGCCUUCGGGUUGUAAACUGCUUUUGUACGGAACGAAAAAGCUCUCUCUAAUACAGGGGGUGAAUGACGGUACCGUAAGAAUAAGCACCGGCUAACUACG